ACUUUCUGCCAAGUUGGCGUUACCAAUUUGUUUCCACCGCCGAUUUCACCAAGCACUGCUCGUGGACGCAACAUUCUGUUUUCUUUCUUCAUUUCUGUUUUUCAGCAGCCUUGUGAGCGACAUGUUGUUCCAGUCACAAGGUGUUCAGUAACACAGUCUUCAGUCUUAACAAUGGGAGGAGCUCGAGAUCCAGAUGCUGACUUUCAGUAUGAUUAUGAGCUGAUAAGAAGAGGAGGGUUGAUAUUUGCAGCUGUACUUUUUGUUCUAGGCAUUGCCAUCAUUUUCAGU